rnacentral:ncRNA from 1 species
CUCUGGUUAUUAGCGAGAUUGUAAAGGUUUACGGACCUUUGCACAGGGCCACCAGACCAAAGGAGCCCUAUUCCUUCCCUAUUUAGGGUAAAAAUACAAGCUGCGAAGGGUAUCUAGUAGCAGGCCGAACGAUAUCCUUCGCU